rnacentral:misc_RNA from 1 species
GUGGUGUUUGGAUCGUCCCUGCCGGUUGGCUCCCGUGCUGUCACCGAACGGCCGGAAGGCGAUCCGCGUCGGUCGCGCUGGGUGGUAUGGUUCCCCAGAGGCCGGUUCCUGUGCUGCCUACCCCUUCAGGGGAAGCGGGCCACCCGAUGUAAAAGCCUCCAUCCGGCGCCCGGCAACGGGCGCAGGAGGACGACGGAGCACCCCCCGCGUUCCACCGAGCCUCCGGCGGUCGCGUGGCGCGCGGGGACGUGCGAUGCUCUCGGACCCAGUGAACGCCGUGGGCGAGGACUCACGUCCCAGUCCCCGAUAGAAGCUCCUACAUAAUGAAUGACGGCCGCCCCCGUCCCCCGACCGCCCCCCGGCGGCGCGGGGGCGAGGCGCGGCGUCGUGGAGGAAUGCUACCUGGUUGAUCCUGCCAGUAGUCAUAUGCUUGUCUCAAAGAUUAAGCCAU